CCCCUAGUAACUGCGAGUGAAGCGGGAAAAGCUCAAAUUUGAAAUCUGGCGGCCCCCGCCGCCCGAGUUGUAUUCUGGAGAAGCGUCUUCUGCGCCGGACCGUGUACAAGUCCCUUGGAACAGGGCGUCAUAGAGGGUGAGAAUCCCGUCUUUGACACGGAUCCCCGGUGCUAUGCGAUGCGCUCUCGAAGAGUCGAGUUGUUUGGGAAUGCAGCUCAAAACGGGUGGUAAAUUCCAUCUAAAGCUAAAUAUUGGCGAGAGACCGAUAGCGAACAAGUACCGUGAGGGAAAGAUGAAAAGCACUUUGGAAAGAGAGUAAAACAGUACGUGAAAUUGUUGAAAGGGAAACGCUUGAAGUCAGUCGCGUCUGCCGGAAGUCAGCCUUGCUUCUGCUUGGUGCACUUUCCGGUCCCGACGGGCCAGCAUCGGUUCUGGGUGGUGGACACUGGCGAGGGGAAGGUGGCAGCUCCGGCUGUGUUAUAGCCCCUCGUCGCAAACGCCGCCCGGGACCGAGGAAUCCGGCGCGAGCCUGGGAUGCUGGCGUAAUGGCUUUAAACGACCCGUCUUGAAACACGGACCAAGGAGUGCUACGUGCUCGCGAGUGUUUGGGUGGAAAACCCGGACGCGCAAUGAAAGUGAAAGUCGAUACCCUCUCAGGCGGGGGGACACCGACGCCCGAGCCUGAUGUUUUCGGAAGGCCUUGCGGUAGAGCGAGUGCGUUGCGACCCGAAAGAUGGUGAACUAUUCCUGAGGAGGGCGAAGCCAGAGGAAACUCUGGUGGAGGCUCGUAGCGGUUCUGACGUGCAAAUCGAUCGCAGGACUUGGG
rnacentral:rRNA from 1 species